UCUCUGCUGUUCUAGUAAGAGAGGGAGAGUGAGAACAGUCCUGAGGGAUCGCCUGGCUGACUCACACAGACCCACCAUCUUCCAGGGAGAAGCUGGGGGCUGGGGUGGAUCUGAGAGGAGCAGUGCGUGCUGCAUCAUCCAGGGCAGAACCAAUCGAAGGUGGGAAUGGAGAGGAGGGGACAGAGCUGCUGUGCUUGCUCCCAUCAGAGACAAAGCAGAGGUGGAGAAGAGGGCCAUGAAUGGGGACAUCCUUACUGGAUUGAUGCUGCAGGGAGGUGGCUCUGCCCUCUGGCCUGGCAGGUGCUCUUGUAAGAAUGCUGGAGACGGUUGCCAUUUUCUUCUCCGGGGGAUCUUCCUGACCCAAGG